CUUGGUCAUUUAGAGGAAGUAAAAGUCGUAACAAGGUUUCCGUAGGUGAACCUGCGGAAGGAUCAUUACCUAGAGUUUGUGGACUUCGGUCUGCUACCUCUUACCCAUGUCUUUUGAGUACCUUCGUUUCCUCGGCGGGUCCGCCCGCCGGUUGGACAACAUUCAAACCCUUUGCAGUUGCAAUCAGCGUCUGAAAAAACUUAAUAGUUACAACUUUCAACAACGGAUCUCUUGGUUCUGGCAUCGAUGAAGAACGCAGCGAAAUGCGAUAAGUAGUGUGAAUUGCAGAAUUCAGUGAAUCAUCGAAUCUUUGAACGCACAUUGCGCCCCUUGGUAUUCCAUGGGGCAUGCCUGUUCGAGCGUCAUUUGUACCCUCAAGCUUUGCUUGGUGUUGGGCGUCUUGUCUCUAGCUUUGCUGGAGACUCGCCUUAAAGUAAUUGGCAGCCGGCCUACUGGUUUCGGAGCGCAGCACAAGUCGCACUCUCUAUCAGCAAAGGUCUAGCAUCCAUUAAGCCUUUUUUUCAACUUUUGACCUCGGAUCAGGUAGGGAUACCCGCUGAACUUAAGCAUAUCAAUAAGCGGAG
rnacentral:rRNA from 1 species